CGGACGGGUGAGUAACGCGUGGGUAACCUGCCUCAUACAGGGGGAUAACAGUUAGAAAUGACUGCUAAUACCGCAUAAGACCACAGCACCGCAUGGUGCAGGGGUAAAAACUCCGGUGGUAUGAGAUGGACCCGCGUCUGAUUAGGUAGUUGGUGAGGUAAUGGCCCACCAAGGCGACGAUCGGUAGCCGGACUGAGAGGUUGAACGGCCACAUUGGGACUGAGACACGGCCCAG
rnacentral:rRNA from 1 species